GACGAACGCUGGCGGCGUGCUUAACACAUGCAAGUCGAGCGGUAAGGCCCUUUCGGGGGGUACACGAGCGGCGAACGGGUGAGUAACACGUGGGUGACCUGCCCUCAGCUCUGGGAUAAGCCUGGGAAACCGGGUCUAAUACUGGAUAUGACUCCAUGACGCAUGUUGUGGGGUGGAAAGCCUUGUGCGGCUGAGGAUGGGCCCGCGGCCUAUCAGCUUGUUGGUGGGGUGANGGCCUACCAAGGCGACGACGGGUAGCCGGCCUGAGAGGGCGACCGGCCACACUGGGACUGAGACACGGCCCAGACUCCUACGGGAGGCAGCAGUGGGGAAUCUUGCGCAAUGGGCGAAAGCCUGACGCAGCGACGCCGCGUGAGGGAUGACGGCCUGU
rnacentral:rRNA from 1 species